AUCAUGGUUGUAGCAAAGCUUCAUUUUUGGAGGUGCCAGCCCAACAGAUAUAGACGUUGUAUCCGUUGCGCACAGAUUAUCCGUCUGUCACCGGAUACAACCGUUGUACUUCAAUUGAUUUUAUUGUAAAUCAAUUACGGGCUUUAGUAUUUCUUUUUUAUUUGAUUCUUUGAUUUUUAUUUUCAUGAAAGUCUCUCUCUUUCUCAUCGUCUAGGUUUCAGUGAGAGAAGAGAAAAAUUUUCUCAGCAGUUUAAUCAAACCCAUCUUCAAUAGAUUUUAGGUUUCAACAAAUCUGAUAAGUUUUUCUCAUCAAUCAAUAAUGUAGUCUAAUCAAACCCCAUCUUCAUAACCCAUAUGAGUUUUUCUCAUCAAAACUGAAAUCUCGAUCUACAAAUUGUUUCCCUGAAAUAUAAAAAUCAAAUCAUUCAACCUCUGAUAUAAACUAGUUUAUUGGAUUAUCAUCAGGGAUUAAGGGGCCGUAGUAGACAGGGAAGCUGCUCAAAUUAAGUCAUGCACAGCUGUUCGUCCAAGAACCGCAAAGGCAGGAGUUGAACUUGGUGAAAACAUUGAUGACAAGAGCCCACAACAUGAAUUGUAUGAGUAUUUGGUCCCGAGUAUACUCCCUGUGUUGCUCCCGGUAAGCUCCCGGAGAAUCUCUACUUUCAGGAAAGACCACCUGAUACAGCGCUUCCAGAGGUCUACUUUCUGCAUCUAUUAUCUGGGAGAAGAAGGUCGAGAGGAUGCAUAUGAGAGAUGGGAUCCAGAUUCUGACGUUGAAGUUGAGGACUAGCGUAAACCUAUGGAAAACAACUCAUAGCCUGCAAGAGUGAAGAGAAUACUCGAACCUGAAGUACAAGUUAUGAUUGUGGGAGGGUAGGUUGACUGGGUUUGAACGGAUAACCUAGUGUAAAAUGACAUUUUGUUCCGAGGGGUCUGUUACCUAAUGUAUAAUGACAAAGUCUGUCAAGUAUGGAUGGAUUUUUUCAACCUGGACAUACUUAGAAGGUGUUCCGGAGUCAUUAGCGUAAAAGAAGAGGAAAUGGUGCAAAAUGGCCUAAUGAUUAUUUCACAACUGAUAUUUAGUGGCCCUUAUCCUAACAGAUGCAAUUGUGGAAGAAAUUGGAAGGAUGAUUUUACCUCAGAUUCGAGUUCCAAGUGGGUUUGAAGUGUUCAUCAGGGGUUUUGUUUGAAUACAGUUUUGGAGAGAGAUUGUUGAUGUUCAUGGCCGGAUUUGCAAAUGCAGUUUUGAAGGUAGCUGUUGGUAAUGAAUCUGAGUAAUGAGUCUGUGUUGCUGUUGAGCUCAAGAUGAGCUGACUUGAAUUGCAGAAUUGAGCUGAUGGGUGUUGGUAGCUGUGCUUGGAAUGCAGUGAAGAUGGAAUUACAGUUGCUGCUGAACUGAGAAAAGAAGCAGGCAGGCAGUGGCGGAACCAGAAAAUGAAUGUUGGGGUGGCUUGAAAACAAAGUGGCUUGACUUGGGCUGGCUUAAGCCUAUUAUUUAGGCUUGAUUUUUCGUAACCAAACACAAUUACAUUAUAAAAUUUAACCAAUUUUUGGACUUUGGGCUGGCUUAAGCCAGCCCAAGUCACUACAUGGAUCCGCCACUGCAGGCAGGGGUUCGAUGGUGCCAGCAUGAGGACAGUGCAGGUGGUAGCUGAUUUGCAGUUGAUACUGCAGUUAUGUUGGCUGAGUGCAGAUGGUGGUGGUAAUGUAGCUUUGUAGCUGAAAUUGCAGGUAUACAUGAGUCAUGGAAUGGAUGUUGUGUUGCAGGCGGGGAUGGUAGUGUGCAAGUGAUGCAGCAAUGAGGUUUACACUGAAAUGUGAGCUGCAGCUAUGGGUCAGAUGAGAAGAUCAAGAACCUGCUGCCAGUAUUUGAGUGUGACAGUGAAACGCCAAGAGAAGCUGAAUGAUGCCAAGAAAGCUAAUGCAAGAGCAGAAUGUUACAGAGAAAUGGCUACAACUUGGAGUUGAUACUGAUCUGUUAAUGGCGGAUAGGAGCUGAGAUGAUGCUGCUGGAAGAAUGAGAUGCUGCACUACAGCUGAGAUGCAGUGGAGUUAAUGGAAUGCGGCAAUAUACAGAUGGUAAUGGUGCUGAUGAUAGGCUAGCAGGUGCAAGUGUAAGUGCUGGUGGAAGGUGGAAGCUAAGAAGAGUCUUGCAAAGCUGGUAAAGAUCCAGAAAGUGGUAAAAUGGAUGAUACAGGAAAUGGGUCUCUUGAGCUGAGUUGAAUCUGUGUAAUAAUAGUAGAUGAUGCAAGAGGCUGUGAGGCAAAUAUAAAGCUGCAGGCAUGAAUUGGAGCCGAGUUGCGACUGGAAUUUCAGGUUUAGAAAGCAGUGGUCGAGUUUGUUAUGAAGCUGUGAUGGAUGGCAGUUAUGAGAAUGAGUUGGUGUUUGGCUGGGGACUGACUUAGAGUGCAAGAAGAGAUGGCAGAGAUGGGACUCUGGUGGUCGCAGUAUUGAUCAGAAUUGAUGGUAUGAGCAGGAAAGUGCAGUUGCUGCAAUGAGUUUGUUGGUGCUGAGAAGAAAUGAUGCAGAUGGAAUUGAUAUAUUCCAGAAUGGUUGGUGAUGUAUAUGUUGGUUGAGAUUUGCAGGUGAUGGCAGGGUUAGCAGGAAGAAUAGCUUGGUUCAGUGUUUGCAUUUACAAGGAAUGUCAUCAUUGGAAGAAAUGGAACUGCAGGAGAUUGAAGUGAUUUCUCAUAGUGGUGUAUAUGAUCUCGAGUUUGCUGAGAGAAUUUGCAGAGCUGGAGAUAGAGAUGGGUUUGAGUGGUUUCAGGGAAUGAAAUGUGCACUUGGUGGUGAGCUGUGAUGGGAGUGAUGGUUUGAGCUAAAUAGAAGACUGUCUAGUGCUGGUGCUGUUGAACCUGUGGAAUGGUGGGGGUGAGUAGAGAAGAUUAAAGCAGCACUGAAUGUGUUUGAAUUGUUAGAUGUAUGCCUAGGAUUGUUACAGGGAAAUGAAGACUAAAAUGGCCUGGAAUCGGCCGAAAAUCACCUAGAAAUAGACAUAACUCGGACAGAAUCGAAGUAUGAUGAGUUGACUCACCGAUCCAUGUCUGACUCAGAUGGGCUUGGCUUUUAUUUGACUGGGCUUGGCUAAUGGGCUGAGAGACUUAAAUUUGGAAGGAUUUUUUUGGGGACUACUCUUCAUUUUCUGGGUGUUGGGUGGAUAUUUGAAGUAAUUUUGAGUCACCCCUUAUCUAAUUCUUUUUCUAAUACCAAACUUGCCCUUGGUAAUAAAAUUGGUUAGUGUAUGAAUUAGUGAGUUAAUUAAUGAUUAGUGAGAUUAAAUUAAUAAUUUGAUUUUUU